AUGAACAACCACUGAAUGGCGCAUCAUAGAUUUCAAAACAUAAACAGCAGACUUUUGAGCAUGUUAUUAGAAAAAAGAAGGAAAUGGAUGCCACUGAAAAAUAAUGCGGAGAAGUAUGGCGCUUUAGGGGUGUAGCCUUGACGAAGAAGAAGACGAAGAAAAAGACGAAGAAGAAGACUAUCAACAGGAGUGUGUGUAAAGUUACAAGAAAAACAAACACAACUUUGCACGGCGGCUGGAAUUAUCCUGCUUUCACGGUGGAGUCAACAAGUCCAAGAGUAAACUAUCAGCAAGAAGAGACAAAGUGAAAGUGACCUAUGAAACUUCCUCCAGAGGAUGGCUACAGCUGGUCCAGUCUCCACCGAGGGAGUAAACUCCACUAGAGCUGCUGGAACUCUUCGGAUGGCAUCUGUUGAAGGCCAGACCUCUGUGAGUUCAUUGCAGACCAAUAAGAGAACCAUCGGUCAUCGUGGGAUUGACCCCACAGGAGAGACUACAUACAAAAAGACAACUUCAUCUGACCUGAAAGGUGCGAUCCAGCUGGGCAUCAACUACACAGUGGGCAGCUUGAGCCAGAAGCCAGAGAGAGAUGUUCUCAUGCAGGACUUUGAAGUAGUGGAGAGCAUUUUCUUUCCCAGCGAGGGAAGUAAUUUAACCCCUGGACACUGCCAUGUUGACUUCAGGUUUAAGACCUAUGCUCCAAUGGCCUUCCGCUACUUCAGAGAGAUGUUUGGGAUUCAGUCUGCUGACUACCUUAAUUCUCUGUGCAACGAUCCCUUGAUAGAGCUGUCAAACCCUGGGGCAAGUGGGUCUCUAUUUUAUGUCUCCAGUGAUGAUGAGUUCAUCAUUAAAACUGUCCAACACAAGGAAGCAGAGUUCCUCCAAAAAUUACUGCCUGGGUACUUUAUGAACCUGAACCAAAACAAGCGUACACUGCUGCCAAAGUUCUAUGGGCUCUACUGCAUUCAGGCUGGAGGGAAGAACAUCCGCUUUGUGGUAAUGAACAACCUGCUGCCACGCGCUGUGCCCAUGCACCUCAAAUACGACCUGAAGGGCUCCACGUACAAACGUCGUGCUUCGCCAAAGGAGAGAAUGAAGAGCCUUCCCACCUAUAAAGACUUGGACUUGAUGCAAGACCUGCCUGAGGGCCUACUACUGGAGACAGAUCACUACAAUGCACUCUGCAAGACCAUCCAACGAGACUGCCUGGUGCUGCAGAGCUUCAAGAUCAUGGACUAUAGUCUGCUGGUGGGGAUUCACAAUGUGGACCGGGCUGGAGACGAGGCAUCCAUGCCAGUGCCAGAUCAGAAGAGGAAUCAGGGCCAGAAGCCCCUUUACUGCACGACCAUGGAGGCGAUCCAGGGGGAAGUCAAGGGCAAGGCUGCACCACAGUACAGUGAGAGUCAAUGCAGCACAGGAGGAAUGCCAGCACAUAACCCAAAGGGGGAGAGAUUGCUGAUCUUUAUUGGUAUCAUUGACAUCCUCCAGUCCUACAGGUUUGUGAAAAAAUUGGAGCACUCGUGGAAAGCCUUGGUUCAUGAUGGGGAUACAGUGUCUGUACACAGGCCUGGCUUCUAUGCAGACCGCUUCCAGAAGUUCAUGUGCAAUACCGUUUUCAGGAAGUCUUCAUUAAAAACAUUCCCUCCUAAGAAGGUGCGAGGAGUCCUCACGGGGCAACGCAAGGCAAGCACUGGGCAAACCCAGCCUGGUCAGCCGUCAGUUAUGGUAGUGCAGACAAAUGCAGAACAAACUCAGCCAGAUGAGGAUAGCGCCAGUGCUGUGUCCCCCACCUCAGAGACACCAGGAAGUGGAGGUAAGUUGGGUGACACUGAUAUUUGGUGUGUACAAUUCAAUGAAGCUGUAAGAUGACAAGAAAUGUAGGACUGCCUUCCUGUGGACCAUGAAUAAUUGUUUAGUCCUCCUACAUGAAUAAUAGAAAUGUUCCUUUGAAACACUGUACUACUUUUUUGCAUUUAUUCUCCCAGAAAAUGAUCCUUGCCCGGACCUCAUUACUAGCCCUCUUGCAAGAGACUUAGCUGAUACAACACACUGAAGGGGGUGUGUGUGUGUGUGUGUGUGUGUGUGUGUGUGUGUGUUGUUUUUCAGUAAAACAUAUGCUGUCUCUGUGUAAUCUACCUCUCAAUGUUUUUCAGGGUGGAAUAGCAAAAGCUAAAUUGCUCUAAUAAGGAACAGAGAUAUACUGCUUUAAGGGAGACGGCCAAAGGUUUUUUGGACGGACAUCAGCAGAAAUAAAGUAUGAGGAAAAACAAAGGAUACAGAAAGUACUUUACACUGCAGCAAAGCACACACAAGCUGUACAAAGGUGUUCCUUGGGUGAUUUCUGCAUCCAGGGUUGCUGCUAAAAGACAUUAUGCAAAGUACGAUGUGUGUUAGCAAUGACAAAUGCCAAAUAUGAAAUCUUUGAAAUACUGUUAUUUUAGGCCUCUAUACACUGCAUGCAGAAUUAUAUAGAAAGUUUUUGUUUGUUUUUCAUGAAUAUGGUUUAACACUGAGCCGUAAAGGUUCCCUUGCUAGGAAUAAGGAGAGGGGAAACAGACUGCUGUGAUUGAACAAUUCCACUAAUGAAGUUGAUGAUAGAGGGUGUUUUUUUGUUUGUUUGUUUUUUUAAGUGUUUAGUAUUACAUUUUGUUUGAAAUUUGCAGGAACUGGAAAUUCAGACUAGUUUUAACUAUGAAAAAGGCAAGGUACAUUUGCCAGUGUGACCAAUAUUUAGUCUGCUCGCUAUUAAAUGUUCUGGAGAGGCGCAGUAUUAAGGGACGUGUACAAUAUGUAGUUGUAGAGAGCAGAGUAGGGUGGAAAAUAUCUCAUCACGGUUUCUGAUUCACGAUAUACAUGACAAGAUAACAAAUUGCUCGCAAAAUAAUAGCUGCAUUUAAAAAAAAAAAUUAGUUCAUUUGAUGCUUCUAUUUAACAAUAAAUAAAUGUGGAAAAAUGUAAACAUUUGUUCAAAAUUGUAACAUUUUACAGUUUUAAAGAUCCAGUAAAAAAAAAAUGUAAGAUCUAAUCAGCUGCAUUAGAUCAGUAAAAUACAGAACAUACUGUAAAUGCUAAGGUAAGGGUAUUGAGACAUCAUUUAGAUCGAUAGCGAGAUUACAGCGCUACAGCAGAUCUUUAUUUAAUCUUAAGAACACUCGGAGUUAGUGUUGGAAAACAGUUGUAGAAAUAUUGUGACUUAUACAAUACUUUAACCUAUCAGUAUAGUAUACCAAUGCCUGCCAGAUAAAAUGUGCAUAGUUAACUAUUUAACUAUUAUUCUCAAUGACAGAGCUCACGCCUUAAGAAAUAUUCCUUUGCGUACAUUCUGCUUCAGCUUUUUUUUUCUUUUUUUUUUUUAAGAUAAUUGUAUGCAAAUAAUAAAAACUAAAGCUUUCUGGCUAUGUUAAUUGAGAUGAAAAUGGGGUGUGUGAUUUGGCAUGUGCUACAUGAAUUAUGUUGCCAUUAAUUAAUUUACAUGAUGUGUAUUUUCUUUAAUCAUUAUUUAAAAAGCUAUCUCAAGUUAGGUAUAGUUUAAUAGGCAAAUGAAUAUAUUAUGUGCGGUGUAAAAUCAGGUACAAUGGGCCUCGUUUAUCAAGCUUGUCAGUAAAUUGUUAGGAUUUCAGAAACACGUUCGUAUCCUACUCGUGCUCCUGAGUGUGUGUAAAUUUACUUAUAAGAAGAUUAACCCAUAAACCUCGACUUGAUCGACUUCAAAUCAUAUCAUAUUUGCAUGGAUUACUGCAGUUUUAUAUUUGGAAUAUAUGAUUGGGUUAAAUUGUUUAUUUGUAUUGGGUUUACAGGGUUUAACAUCCUCAUGCUAGUUCCCUAGGUCAGGGACUAAGAGCACCAUCAGGAAAAUUUUGUGAAAAAUUUAACUUAACAACUGCCUCCGCUGAUGGAAGAUUUAGCGCUUACUUAUUAUUAUUAUUGUUAUUAUUAUUAUUAUUAUUGUUGUUGUUGUUGUUGUUGUUAAAUAUUUUAUUGGCUUACCUGUGAGUCAAAAUAAUUUCCACUUCUGUGUUUCAGGCUUUACCCUGAUUGUUCAUUUCAUGCUCCCAGCUCUGUGCACUUGACCUUUUAUGGAGUUUGUGGGUGUCACUAAAUGCAAAUAAGCUGUGACAGGAACACGAUUUGCACUUUACAAGUGAUCAAAGCUGGCAGCUGUAAAUCUGGCAGACAAUUCUAGUUCAAUUUGGCUUACGGAAACAUUUACGCCCAACUUUGCUAAAAGAGUGAUAAAUGAGGCCUGAUGUGAUAAAUACGCAAUAUAAAUUUGAGAGUACACCUAUUUGUUUCAGCUUUGUCUUAUUGCUAUCUUAGUAAGCCUUGUGAAAUGUUUAUCAAAAUGGUGCUGUCUGAGUUUCCUUAAAAUACGAUAUCAACAUUUUAUUUUUGGGUUAUGUAUUUGUUUUAUUUUUGACAAAAUUGGAUUUUUAAGAGCCUUUCUUAGCCUUGAUAUAACAGAGACUGUUUUAUACACACACAAAUGCACUUGCUUUGAAAAGUUUACAUAUUUUAAUAGUGCCUUAAAUAUUGAUAUUUGAUUGUUUAGAAAGUAAGAUUUAUGAACAUUGAGGAAAAAUUACUGCUGAAUUGGAAUUCAAUCAUGGCCAUAUGUGAUUUGCAGUAAAUAAUCUCAGAGUUUUGUGUGGCAACAAAAUAAAUAAUCCACUAUAGGAAAGCAGCCUGGGAAAAUGACUAUUUAUCUAUAUUUCAUUUCUUUUAAUAAGUUCUGCCUGUGGGUUUAUGCAAUACAGUAAAAAAAAAUGCUGAGGUGUUUCCUAGUUGGAAUUUGUACCGAAAUACAAUGUAACAGACUUUUGGUUUUAAGGUGAAUCUUCAUUUAAUACAAUCUGCAUAUUUUUACAUUGUUUGUAUGUAUUAUAUAGGAUAGUUUUUUUUGUUUGUUUGUUUGUUUGUUUGUUUGUUUUUUUUUAAAUAAUGUGGUGGCCCAAAACCUUGCUAAGACACUUUAUACUGUUUUUGUUUCCCUUUAAUUUGUCACCUUUGUGUAGCUCCUUAAAAUGAGGGCAAUAAAAGCAACUGACAAAUCAA